CCUAACACAUGCAAGUCGAACGCGGUUAGUAGCAAUACUAACUGAGUGGCGAACGGGUGAGUAACACGUGGGUGACCUACCUUCUAGUGGGGGAUAACGUCCCGAAAGGGACGCUAAUACCGCAUAACAUCCUGCCCUUGAACGGGUGGAGAUCAAAGCCGGGGAUCGUAAGACCUGGCGCUGGAAGAGGGGCCCGCGUCUGAUUAGCUAGUUGGUGGGGUAACGGCCCACCAAGGCGACGAUCAGUAGCUGGUCUGAGAGGAUGAUCAGCCUCACUGGGACUGAGACACGGCCCAGACUCCUACGGGAGGCAGCAGUGGGGAAUAUUGGACAAUGGGCGCAAGCCUGAUCCAGCCAUGCCGCGUGGGUGAUGAAGGCCCUAGGGUUGUAAAGCCCUUUCGGCGGGGAAGAUAAUGACGGUACCCGCAGAAGAAGCCCCGGCUAACUUCGUGCCAGCAGCCGCGGUAAUACGAAGGGGGCUAGCGUUGCUCGGAAUCACUGGGCGUAAAGCGCACGUAGGCGGCUUGUUAAGUCAGGGGUGAAAUCCUGGAGCUCAACUCCAGAACUGCCUUUGAUACUGGC
rnacentral:rRNA from 1 species